rnacentral:rRNA from 1 species
ACGUAGGGGGCGAGCGUUGUCCGGAUUCAUUGGGCGUAAAGCGCGCGCAGGCGGCAGCCGGAGCCCGGCGUGAAAGCUCCCAGCUUAACUGGGAGAGGUCGUCGGGGACCCGGCCGCUGGAGGCCGGUAGGGGUGAGCGGAAUUCCGGGUGUAGCGGUGGAAUGCGUAGAGAUCCGGAAGAACACCAGUGGCGAAGGCGGUCUGCUGGGCAGUGGGAGCUUUGGCUCCCGUUAAGCCGACACUGAGGCGCGACAGCGUGGGGAGCAAACAGGA